CUUGCGAAUACUCGAUCCUCCUACAGAAGAAGUGUUUCCACGAGUAAUAACAAAUUUAUCGCUAAUUAUAAACAUUCAUUGUAGCAGGGAGAAUCGUGAGAAGAAAGGAAUUCAAUUUCUUUCUUUCGAGAUUCGGAAGGAUCUACUU
rnacentral:lncRNA from 1 species